rnacentral:rRNA from 1 species
UUAUUUCUAGAAACACUUUCCAGUACCUCUACUUUGUUACGACUUAUUUCAAUUUAUUUAUGAAAGCGACGGGCAAUAUGUACAUAUUCCAAUUUUUAAUCAUUUUAAUAAAUUAAAUAAAAUUACAUUUAAAUCCACUUUUAAUUAAUUUUUACAAAUUAAUAUCAAUUAUAAAUAUUUUUAUUGUAAUCCAUUAUAUUCUUAAUUAUAAUCUGCAUCUUGAUCUGAUUUAAAUUUUAAUUUUAAUUUUUAAAUAUUAUUUUUAUAAAAAAAUAUUUUUAUAACAACGAUAUACAAAAUAAAAAAAAAUUAAGUAAAUUUAUUCGUGGAUUAUCAAUUAUUAAACAGAUUCCUCUAAAUGAACUAAAAUACCGCCAUAUUAUUUAAGUUUCAAUAAAUUAUUAUAUACUAUUUUAGUAUUAUUAAUUUAAAUUUUUAAUAAUAGGGUAUCUAAUCCUAGUUUACAAAUAAAAUUUAUUAAAUCAUAUUAUAAAUAAUUAAUUUCAAUUUAAUUAAAAUUUCACUUAAUAAUUUAAUAUUUAAUUAACUUUUAUUUAAUAUUUAUUAAUUACUAAUAUAAUUUAAUUUAACUUUUGUUUAACCGCAACUGCUGGCACAAAAUUUGUUAUUAAUUUAAAUAUUACUAAAUCUUAAUUUCUUAAAUUUUUAAUAUUAAUUACUAUAAAUAAUUAUUAAUUAUUAUUAAAAUAAUUAAUAAUUUAUACUAAAAUUUACAUGUAAAAUAAAUUUAUAAUAAAAUUUUUAAACCAUAAAAAAUUUAUUU